GUAGGUGAACCUGCGGAAGGAUCAUUACCGAUUUUUAGCGGACCUGAUCUUGGUCAUGGUCUCGCGAAAAACUUGUAUUUAAAACCCCACUCUUAUAAAUUGAAUCAUUUUAUUAUAAUAAUAAAUAAAGAUCACUUUCAACAACGGAUCUCUUGGCUCUC
rnacentral:misc_RNA from 1 species